AAGUAGUAACAAUCUAGCUUAAAACUAAGCUAUAAAGGCGGCUUUUCAUAUAAAUGAAGGAACUCGUUUCUUAAUCGACAACCCUCGUUAUUUUUAACUUUUUUUUAAAACUCGUAUACCUCCGUGUAAAUAAUUUUGUAUUUUUACAAUAAAUAGCUAAUAAAUUAGGUCAAGGUGCAGUCUACAUUUAAGUAGAAAUAAGUUACAAUAAUACAGAUUUACAUUAAUUAACUAAAACUUUAUUAAUAUAGGAUUCACUAGUAUUUAUAUAUUAUUAAUAUACUAAGAAAAUUUAUAAAAGUGC
rnacentral:rRNA from 1 species